rnacentral:snoRNA from 1 species
UGAGUUUUGGGAUGAGGCCGUGGAAUAAGUGCUGGACACAGUGCUUGAACCAGACUGUGGAAAUACUAA